rnacentral:lncRNA from 1 species
CGGCACAAUCGCGCGCAGCAAGCGCACCGCGCGCGGCACCAUCGCGCGCAGUUAGCGAGAUUGCGCGCGGCACCAUCGCGCGCAGCAAGCGCCACAGCGCGCGGCACCAUCGCGCGCAGCCAGCGCGAUCGCGCGCGGCAACAUGUCCCGCAGCCAGCGCGAUAGCGUGCGGCACCAUCGCGCGCAGCAAGAGCGCCAGCGCGGCACCCAUCGCGCGCAGCAAGCGCCACAGCGCGCGGCACCAUCCGCGCGCAGCCAGCGCGAUCGCGCGCGGCAACAUGUCCCGCAGCCAGCGCGAUAGCGUGCGGCACCAUCGCGCGCAACAAGAGCGCCAGCGCGCGGCACCAUCGCGCGCAGCCAGCGCCCAGCGCGCGGCACCAUCGCGCGCAGCAAGCGCCCAGCGCGCGCACCAUCGCGCGCAGCCAGCGCCCCAGCGCGCGCACCAUCGCGCGCAGCAAGCGCCCAGCGCGCGGCACCAUCGCGCGCAGUUAGCGAGAUUGCUCGCGGCACCAUCGCGCCCAGCAAGCGCCCCAGCGCGCGGCACCAUCGCGCGCAGGCAGCGCGAUCGCGCGCGGCAAAUCUCCCGCAGCCAGUGCGAUAGCGUGGGGCACCAUCGCGCGAAGCAAGCGCGCCAGGGCGCGGCACCAUCGCGCGCAGCAAGCGUCCCAGCGCACGGCACCAUCGCGCGCAGCCAGCGCGAUAGCGAGGGGCACCAUGGCGCGCAGCAAGCGCGCCUGCGCGCGGCACCAACGCGCGCAGCAAGCGCGCCAUCGCGCGGCACCAUCGCGCGCAGCAAGCGCCCCCGCGCGCGGCACCAUCGCGCGCAGGCAGCGCGAUCGCGCGCGGCACCAUCUCCCGCAGCCAGCGCGAUAGCGAGGGGCACCAUGGCGCGGUGCAAGCGCGCCAUCGCGCGGCACAAUCGCGCGCAGCAAGCGCACCAGCGCGCGGCACCAUCGCGCGCAGUUAGCGAGAUUGCUGGCGGCACCAUCGAGCGCACCAAGCGCCCCAGCGCGCGGCACCAUCGCGCGCAGCAAGCGCCCCNCUGAGCGCGAGGCACGCCAGGAACACGGAGCUCGCCUCGCGUCCACCCCGCACCCGGAAGGGCACAAGGCGGACGGGGAAAACCGAAACCAGCAAUUCCGUUUUGUUGGUAAGCAACACAGGAUACCGAACGCACCCUCAAGGCAACAGCUGCACUUGGGGAAAGACUGAAGCGGAUGGCCUUCGAGCAGUUCGGUGCACGAGCACGGAGCCUGCCGAUUGAUGCCCUCCAAUCACCACUCACACGCCCUGCCGUUCACUUGGCUACGGCCUUGCCGAGCGUCCCGCAUGCCCGAAGCAAUUGCCGUCGGGUCAACGGAAGCACCAAGCAAGGCUAAGCCAGCACCGUCGGACGCGAAAAGCAGCACACAUUUACUUUUUCCGCAAAAACAAGGUCGCCGGAAAGUCGCCGGAAUGACGCCGGAGCGAGCUCGACGGCGACAUUCCGACAGACGUCCCAAAACCGAAGCACCAAGGCCGAGCAGCAAGGCCAACGCCAACAAAGGCCGGGGCUCCCACCACCCAACCUAGGCACCUCUCAUCCCUUACCCCCCUAAAGAGGUCUUAGAACAAUUCUUGGCCUAGCAGCAAUAGACACCCCCAAUACUUGAGCUGACCCCCACCCCAAAAAAAAAAAAAAUAUUGAAUUUUGGUCUGAUUUUUUGCAUCAUGGUCAGGAAAAAUAUGAAGAAUUUUUCAAGAGAAAGAGAAAAAAAAUUGGAGUGGCAAAAGAGGUAUUUUUAGCCGCAUCGUCACGUGGCAUUGGCAGGCCAUUUCCCGCACAGCUAACCUCCCUUCGUGCGAGAAAUGACCAGCGGAAGCGCGCAGCCAGCGCGCCGGCGCGCGGCAAAAUCGCGCAGCACCAGCGCGCCCGCGCGCGGCUCCAUCACGCGGCAACAACGUGCGGCACCUGCGCGCCCGCGCGCGGCACAAUCGCGCGCAGCAAGCGCACCCGCGCGCGGCACCAUCGCGCGCAGUUAGCGAGAUUGCGCGCGGCACCAUCGCGCGCAGCAAGCGCCACAGCGCGCGGCACCAUCGCGCGCAGCCAGCGCGAUCGCGCGCGGCAACAUGUCCCGCAGCCAGCGCGAUAGCGUGCGGCACCAUCGCGCGCAGCAAGAGCGCCAGCGCGGCACCAUCGCGCGCAGCAAGCGCCACAGCGCGCGGCACCAUCGCGCGCAGCCAGCGCGAUCGCGCGCGGCAACAUGUCCCGCAGCCAGCGCGAUAGCGUGCGGCACCAUCGCGCGCAACAAGAGCGCCAGCGCGCGGCACCAUCGCGCGCAGCCAGCGCCCCAGCGCGCGGCACCAUCGCGCGCAGCAAGCGCCCCAGCGCGCGGCACCAUCGCGCGCAGCCAGCGCCCCAGCGCGCGGCACCAUCGCGCGCAGCAAGCGCCCCAGCGCGCGGCACCAUCGCGCGCAGUUAGCGAGAUUGCUCGCGGCACCAUCGCGCCCAGCAAGCGCC